rnacentral:lncRNA from 1 species
CAACAUCUCCAAGCGUCAUUUUCCUCAUCAGUUAGACACCCACCUUCCAGAGUUGUUAACAGCAGGAGGAGCCGUGUGGGAGAGAUUACUGUGACCUGUGCACUGGGUAACCCCUUGGUAUGUGUAUUAUCGCUAACCAUGAGAGAUGAGGACUGUGUGCAUUUUACAGAUGGUCAGGAUCCCUGCAGCAGGGCUUCUGCAGCACGUGGUUCUGUAGCCUGAAGCCGCAAGACCUGUGGCCUGGCUUUGUGCGAAGGUCUGCAGCCCGUGUCCUGCACGUGCAUCAGCGCAGGUGUCUGAGGAGGGAGGCCUCUCUCCUUCUGUCCCCUUCAGUGCCAGCGGCUUCCAGCUCCGUGAUGACCCCUCUCAUCUUUGCAUCCUGGGUGAGAAAGCAGCUCCCAGGUGCUGCUGCUGCUGGGCUGAGGACUACGCUUUGAGCCCCACCCUGGUUCCCGAGGCGCUAGAACUUGAUGGAGCUGGCAGGACGUGUUGGCAUCGUGCAGAAACAGAGUCGGGCCUCCUGAAGGCCCAGCAGAUGGCAGAACCCCACACAUGGAGCCACUUUCCCCACCACAUUCCAACCACUAGGACUGAGGGAACCAAACUGGGACCCCACAAACAGGUCUUUCUUCCAAGUCAGCUUCUCUUGACUUUCACUGUCUCCUCCUCCAGCUGGGACACAGGAUGGUCUGGCCCUGCCAUCUGUCCUCCUGGUCCUCCCUCAGCCCCCUCGGGCUCUGGCCCAGCUCUUGGCCCGUCUCAGGAACGUGGGGCUGUUUCCUGGGUUCUUCUCUCUUCCCAACACGUCUGCAUCAGAGAUUCCUGCCCAAGAGGCCUGAGCCUGGUCUGCUUUCUCCCACACCCUUGUGGCAUUGGUGGAGACACACUGAGAGCAGGUGUGGUCUUUAGGCCCCCCCCCCCCCCACACACACCUGAUCGAAAUGAGCCCACACUGUCUCUUCCUACUGCCCUCAGCCAGGACCUUCCCAAUUCCAGAGACUCCAAAUUGUCUUUAAUAAACCACUAUCAACCCAUAGGUCUGCCAACAAGCCUUUUU